UCGGAAUAGAACCUAGCCUACUCUAUCGAGCCAUGGUUCCGAGCCUUCGGCCUCUCAGAGUUAAAUAUGGAGGGGCUGUUGCAGAGACCAUUGAAAAACGCAGAAACCCUAAAAAUGGAGGCCAUUGCCUUAUUUAGCCAUAACCCUAAUUCGAGGUGUUAACGGCGUGCUCCAGAGGGCUUUUAAAACCCUAGAUUUUUUCUUCUUCUCCUUCCCUUCAAGGGCUCGCUCUGAGAAGAGGCGGCGGUUUCUCGCCUUGGCUCUUAUGCCUUUAAUGGCGGCUCAACAUUGUUGUUCGGAGACUGUGUAGGUUACGCUUAGCUGAAAUUCUAGGGUUUUAUUGUCGAGGAAGGCCUUAAAAAGUAGGUUAUCAUUGAGUUUGAGUGCUAGGUUGUCCUUUUACAGAGAAGGGUUGAGUUUCUCCCUUUAGUCAAUGCUUGCUCAGUGAAGUGCUUGAAUGUCGAUGAAGGCUUGAAAAUUAGUUUAUCAGAAGGUUGAAUGCUAAGCUUUUGAGUGUGUUUUGUCAGAGAACUGGAGCCUAUCGUCUCAGAGGAGUGUUUUUUGGUUGAAGAGAUUUGAUGUAAAGUUUUGAUGCUAAGCUUCACUUUUACAGAGAAUUUGAAGCUUUUGGUUACCAGAGAUUUAGGCAAGAGAAGGUGGUGGAAAUUUGAAGGGUAGUCUUCUUCAAAGUUUCAGACUCAGAGGCUUUAAGCUUUUCAGUACGGUAGAUUUUCAAAGCCUGAAACUGAGAAGACAGUCUCUUUCUUCUCUGAUACUUCUUUGAACUAUUGAUAUCUCUUCAAAAAUUUAUAUUAUAUGAGAAACGGAGGUCGCAUUUUUAAAUUUCGGUUUAGAGAGAGAAAGUCAGGAACACCAGUGUUUGAAGAGGCUUCAUUCUCUGCAAAAUCAAUUAGCCUCUUUAUCAUUCUAUCUUUGAUGCUUCAUCAAGAAUACAUUAGUAAUGCUCUGUAUUCUCUCUCUAUUGAAGAGAAACUCUUCGAAUCCUUGAGACUUUCUUUUGCUGAUCAAGUAACGUGAUAGGAAUACAGUUUCAGGAGCACUGAAGCUUGCUUCUUUGAUCAAUAAACGCUUUUAUCCAUCAAAAUGAAUUUGUGAAGGCUUGGUGUCAGGUAUUAAACAGGCAUUAGCAGGGAAAGCUCCGUAUUUUGGGACAUUUUUAGUGUAAGGCGCCAGAGCCUUUUUUUGUUUCUACAUUUGAAUCAAAAGCUGUAUCAAAGCUUCAAUCUCUAUUCAAUCAAACGCCAUUUCAAAGCUUUUUCACAGGAAGGAUCAGACAAUAAAAUCUUUAAAGCUUCAAUUGGAAUGUCUAAGGAGGACAUCAUGAAGCUUGCGCUGUCUCUCUGAACCAACAUUGUUGAAGUUCCGUUAACAGGCUCCAAAAGCUUCAAAAAGCAGUGGUUUCUCUGAAUCUCUGCGACAUUUUUGUGGAUUUAAACACAACAUUUGGAUCGCUUAGCUCUCAAGAAUUAGGGUUUCAGGUUCAAACUUAAGAGACGGCUAUGGAGUUUCAGAAAUUCUUAAUUUGCAGUGGAGUCUUCACGGAAGACUGAGGUUUGAAGUUUCAGCAACGAAGUGGGAAAUGGUGACUGAGAAAUUCGAGAUAAAUCACGGUUGGACCCACAAAGGAAUUGCUGAGAACUGUUAAUUAGAAGCGUUUUCAUGAAGACCCACUUUUGAGUUUUGACCCUUGGAAAAUCCAUCCGACCCUUCGUCAAACGUAAUAGUUUGAAGAGGUCCCUUUAGAAGGCCAGUGAGGCUUUGACAAUCUUAACUCAGCGAAAUCGCGGAUACUGAUCACAUGCUUUUCCUAAGGAAGUUGUAUGGUGAUAUUGGCUGAACGGCUCAAUCUUACUCUAUAUUUUCAUUCAUGAAAUUGUUGAAUAAUUGGGUUUCCUAGUAUGUCUUUUACCCAUUUUCUUUAUGACUACUUUGCAGUCUCCCGUUCUUGCUUGCUUUGAAUAAGUCAUUCUUGGUGUUAUGGUAUGUUGUCAACGUU